rnacentral:rRNA from 1 species
CACAUGCAAGUCGUGCGAGAAAGUAUCUUCGGAUAUGAGUAGAGCGGCGGACGGGUGAGUAACGCGUAGGAAUCUACCUAGUAGAAGGGGAUAGCCCGGGGAAACUCGGAUUAAUACCGUAUACCUCCUUAGGGAGAAAGAGGGCCUCUCUUGAAGCUUUCGCUAUUAGAUGAGCCUGCGUAAGAUUAGCUUGUUGGUAAGGUAAUGGCUUACCAAGGCUACGAUCUUUAGCUGGUCUGAGAGGACGAUCAGCCACAUUGGGACUGAGACACGGCCCAGACUCCUACGGGAGGCAGCAGUGGGGAAUAUUGGACAAUGGGCGCAAGCCUGAUCCAGCCAUACCGCGUGUGUGAAGAAGGCUCUAGGGUUGUAAAGCACUUUAAGCAGGGAGAAAAAGUUAUAAAUUAAUACCUUAUAACCAUGAUGUUACCUGCAGAAUAAGCACCGGCUAAUUCCGUGCCAGCAGCCGCGGUAAUACGGAAGGUGCAAGCGUUAAUCGGAAUUACUGGGCGUAAAGCGCGCGUAGGUGGUUUGUUAAGUUGGAUGUGAAAGCCCUGGGCUCAACCUAGGAACUGCAUCCAAAACUAACUCACUAGAGUACGAUAGAGGGAGGUAGAAUUCAUAGUGUAGCGGUGGAAUGCGUAGAUAUUAUGAAGAAUACCAGUGGCGAAGGCGGCCUCCUGGAUCUGUACUGACACUAAGGUGCGAAAGCGUGGGUAGCGAACAGGAUUAGAUACCCUGGUAGUCCACGCCGUAAACGAUGACAACUAGCUGUUGGAAGACAAUGUCUUUCAGUGGCGCAGCUAACGUUUUAAGUUGUCCGCCUGGG